rnacentral:lncRNA from 10 species
AAAUAACCCGAGACCAUGCAGUCUUAGCAGGGAGAUGAAAGCUGCCCAGGAUGGGGAUUACAGCAGUGCCCGAGCGCUCUUCAUUAUCGAGACACUUCUGGAGGUAAUUAGCGUUGGUGUUCAUCAUCUCUACGGAGUCUUUGCAGUGGGGAUGGUUUGAGUGGGAACUGGCAAUGUGGCAGUUAGCAGAAGUGACUCUCCAGGGGAGCUAAAAUCCAUGUAUUUGGGCACACACUUGAACAAUAUUGCUAGAGAAAUUUAAGCAAGAGCACAAAGGCACUACGUUGUCUGGGAUGAUGGAAGGAGCUAAAGUCUUCAGUGAAUGAAGGAGCAGGACCAGGAGCUCAAAAUACUUCUUUGAAGACAAAGAAGAAAUGAUAUUACCAAAUGGUUGGCUCAAAAGAACAGGGAUUUUGCAACAGAGAGAGUAUGUCAUGGUCUUGAACAAGCAAUGAAAGAAUCAUCUGAAAGGAAUGUGGAGAUCAGAGAAAAAUGAUGGGAAAGUUACCACAGCCUGCAAAUGAGAAAUGAUGAGAGCCUGCCUGGGUUUUGCCAGGACGAUUAAAUAUCAUUGAUGCUUCUGGUCUACAAUUAGUCAGAGAAGAGAUUAAAAAAAUGAUGAGUAUUCAAGAAGGAAAGUGUUUGCUUUAACAUAUGAAGAAAAGGAGCUUCAGAGUGGUGAUUAACCCCAGAAUUGUGUGGAACGGAUAUGGAAACAAGACCACAGGAGCAUCGAGAACUGAGCAGAACUGAAGGUGACAUGAAAAUCAGCUGCAAGAUUCACCUCAGGGUGAUAAUGGGCUGCAGGUGGCUGCAGGAAUCCCGGGACAUUCUAGGCACUGCCAUAUUUUCUUAGGGGCCAGUAAGGAUGGCUAUCAUCAGAUGUACCUGAUGAUACAAACAUGGGCUGUCUUGCCUUCUAGUAUUCAUUCUUGAUGAUUGCAUCCAGAGCUCACUUUGGAGGUGCAGAUCAACUCUUCUUCAGGCUCAUCCAUGCGACUUGAGUGGGCUCUCAUCCCCAUUCCCAGGGGCUUAUGACAAUCAAGGUUUCCACUCCUCCAUGGUCUCAAUGGUUUUUCUCCCCAUGGGAAGCACAUAAUCCCAUUAGAGGCCACGGGAAGCUUUUUUGUUGGGCUUUGAGGGAAAAAAGGCUUUUGCAGCCAAUGAAUCGAUCAAUGUGUACUUCAACCUGGAUUGUAUGUAUGCAUCUCCUAGAUUGGGCGGAUGAUGAAGUGAGGCUGGAAGUGCUGAGCAUCUUCCUACCUGGGAUGACUGGGCUGAGCAGGAAGCCUACCCCGGGGUUCCAGCCAAGUUGGAGCCUGUGAGUGUGUGGUGUAGUUUAACGCCCUGAUUAAAUCACUAGGAAGCCAUUUCUCUCUCUCCUCCCAGACCAGAUCAGACAAUAUGUUCCCUUAUUUCUACUAAAGCCCCAAUUGGAUUUUGUGUCUUUUGAUACUGAAAGAAUCUUACCACAAAUAAAAUAAUUUGUCAUGUGGCUCCUACAUAUUUAUUCAGUUACAUAAACUAACUAAAUAAAUGAAUAAACUGUCAAUAAUGGUAGUUCCUCAUCUAUGAAUGACUCUUUACAAAGCCUAUCUCGCUUAAUAGUCAUAAUAAAUACUGAAGUAGAUACUAUUUAUACCUUUUUUUUAAAAGGAAUUAAAUAUUUUCAGGGUUAUACAAAGCAUGAGUAUUGUGGGUACAAAUUCAAGCUUUCUAACUCAAAUUUGAAGACUUAUCCCCAGGAUACUUUUACAUCUUUAGCUAGUACCAUGUAUACCUCAAAAGCUUACAUUAUUUUUCACAUGUGUUAGGUUUUGAGGGAUAAUCAAUAAGGAGGGCAUACUUUCAGGCUUCUUAUUUAUAACUGUGAAAUUUAGAAAUUGAUGGAGUAGCAGAUUUCUCGGUAGGAGACAGCUGUUUUAAAAUGCCCCAUGUUUUUAUUAAAGUAAAAAUCUCAAAAAUUGUCUUUUAAAAAGUGGCUCUGGCCAAUCUUAGAUAAAACAUCAUUUACUAGACUUAGGAAUUUCCUGUAGUAAAUUUCAGAUUUACUUUUCGGUCUCACAUCAUCAAAGAGAUCAUAACCCUUUGUGCAAUUAUGGUCUUGAACCAAGGCCUAUUCUCUAGGUCACUGCUGUCAGGACUUCAAGAUAAUUGUUUCCAUUGCAGGAUUUGAUUUUUAAUUCCCCGGAUGUUCUUGACGUGGUUCAGUUCUUCAGGAAAUCAUCACCCUCAUGAGCCCUCCCUGCCACUUGCAGAUAGGGCUUUCUCCCGGUAAGUUCUGGAGUCACGGCAGAGCUCAAUAAGUCUGAUUGGGACCUCCUAUGAUUAU